rnacentral:rRNA from 1 species
CAAUAGCGUAUAUUAAAGUUGUUGCGGUUAAAAGCUCGUAAGUUGGAUUUCUGCCGAGGACGACCGGUCCGCCCUCUGGGUGAGUAUCUGGCUUGGCCUUGGCAUCUUCUUGGAGAACGUAGCUGCACUUGACUGUGUGGUGCGGUAUCCAGGACUUUUUACUUUGAGGAAAUUAGAGUGUUUCAAGCAGGCAUACGCCUUGAAUACAUUAGCAUGGAAUAAUAAGAUAGGACCUCGGUUCUAUUUUGUUGGUUUCUAGAGCUGAGGUAAUGAUUAAUAGGGAUAGUUGGGGCGAUUCGUAUUUAACUGUCAGAGGUGAAAUUCUUGGAUUUUUAAAGACGAACUACUGCGAAAGCAUCUGCCCAGGAUGCUUUUAUUAAUCAAGAACGAAAGUUAGGGGAUCGAAGACGAUCAGAUACC